rnacentral:rRNA from 1 species
AGUGAACGCUGGCGGUAGGCCUAACACAUGCAAGUCGAACGGCAGCACAGUAAGAGCUUGCUCUUACGGGUGGCGAGUGGCGGACGGGUGAGGAAUAUAUCGGAAUCUACUUUUUCGUGGGGGAUAACGUAGGGAAACUUACGCUAAUACCGCAUACGACCUACGGGUGAAAGCAGGGGAUCUUCGGACCUUGCGCGGUUGAAUGAGCCGAUGUCGGAUUAGCUAGUUGGGGGGGUAAAGGCCAACCAAGGCGAGGAUUCGUAGCUGGUCUGAGUGGCGGGUCGGCGGCAUUGGAAGUGAGACACGGUCAAGGCGCCUAAGGGAGGGAGCAGUGGGGAACAUUGGACAAUGGGCGGAAGCAUGAUCCAGCCAUACCGCGUGUGUGGAGAAGGCCUUCGGUUUGUAAAGCCCUUUUGUGGGGAAAGAAAAGCAGCAGGUUAAUACCCCGCUGGUCUGACGGUAACCAAAGAAUAAGCACCGGCUAACUUCGUG